rnacentral:rRNA from 1 species
GUGGGGAAUAUUGGACAAUGGGGGGAACCCUGAUCCAGCCAUGCCGCGUGUGUGAAGAAGGCCUUUUGGUUGUAAAGCACUUUAAGCGAGGAGGAGGCUACCGAGAUUAAUACUCUUGGAUAGUGGACGUUACUCGCAGAAUAAGCACCGGCUAACUCUGUGCCAGCAGCCGCGGUAAUACAGAGGGUGCAAGCGUUAAUCGGAUUUACUGGGCGUAAAGCGUGCGUAGGUGGCCAAUUAAGUCAAAUGUGAAAUCUCCGAGCUUAACUUGGGAAUUGCAUUCGAUACUGGUUGGCUAGAGUAUGGGAGAGGAUGGUAGAAUUCCAGGUGUAGCGGUGAAAUGCGUAGAGAUCUGGAGGAAUACCGAUGGCGAAGGCAGCCAUCUGGCCUAAUACUGACACUGAGGUGCGAAAGCAUGGGGAGCAAACAGGAUUAGAUACCCUUGUAGUCC